CCCCUAGAUGUUCUGGGCCGCACGCGCGCUACACUGAACAGUUCAACAAGUCUUAACCUUGGCCGAUAGGUCUGGGUAAUCUUUGAACGCUGUUCGUGAUUGGGAUAGACCUUUGCAAUUAUGGGUCUUCAACGAGGAAUUCCUAGUAAACGCAAGUCAUCAGCUUGCAUUGAUUACGUCCCUGCCCUUUGUACACACCGCCCGUCGCACCUACCGAUUGAAUGGUCCGGUGAGGACUCGGGAUUGUGGUUUAGCUCCUUCAUUGGGGCCUGACUGCGAGAACUUGUCCGAACCUUAUCAUUUAGAGGAAGGUGAAGUCGUAACA
rnacentral:rRNA from 1 species